rnacentral:lncRNA from 1 species
UGCAGUUCUCUACAGGAUAUCUGGGUAGAAAGGGUAAGGCUCUUGGCUUUCUUUUCAUACAUUCAAAAAUAGAACUUAAAAGUCUCCGUGAAUUGGAAACGACACUAAAUUUCUGCUGCUUCCAUUGAAAAUGUAACCAUGAAUCUGCUAAUAUCUUACUUUGGGGGAAUAUAUUGUUAAGAAGAAUGGAGACUCCAGUGAGGUAAUA